rnacentral:rRNA from 1 species
AGAGUUUGAUCCUGGCUCAGGAUCAACGCUGGCGGCGUGCCUAAUGCAUGCAAGUCGCACGGGACACCUUCGGGUGUUCAGUGGCGAACGGCUGAGGAACACGUGCGUAUCUGCCUUUCCGUGGGGAAUAACGGGUGGAAACACCCGCUAAUACCGCGUACGCUUGCUUCGGCAAGGAAAGCCUUCGGGCGCGGGGAGAGGAGCGCGCGGCCCAUCAGGUAGAUGGCGGGGUAAUGGCCCACCAUGCCGGUGACGGGUCGCUGGUCUGUGAGGAUGACCAGCCAGACUGGGACUGCGACACGGCCCAGACACCUACGGGUGGCAGCAGCAAGGAAUCUUCGGCAAUGGGCGCAAGCCUGACCGAGCAACGCCGCGUGGAGGACGACGGCCUUCGGGUUGUAAACUCCUUUUCUGUGGGAUGAUACGGACAGUACCGCAGGAAUAAGCCCCGGCUAACUCUGUGCCAGCAGCCGCGGUAAUACAGAGGGGGCAAGCGUUGUCCGGACUUACUGGGCGUACAGCGCGCGCAGGUGGUCGGCUAAGUUCGUGGUGACAGCGUGCGGCUCAACCGCACACGGUCCAGGGAGACUGGCUGGCUAGAGGCAUCGAGAGGGAUACGGAAUACCCGGUGGAGCGGUGAAAUGCGUAGAGAUCGGGUGGAACACCAGCGGCGAAGGCGGUAUCCUGGCGAUGACCUGACACUGAGGCGCGACAGCGUGGGGAGCAAACGGGAUUAGAUACCCUAGUAGUCC